rnacentral:rRNA from 1 species
UAACACAUGCAAGUCGAACGGAAACGAUACUAGCUUGCUAGUAGGCGUCGAGUGGCGGACGGGUGAGUAACGCGUAGGAAUCUACCUGAUAGUGGGGGAUAGCCCGAAGAAAUUCGGAUUAAUACCGCAUAAUCUAUUCGUAGUAAAGUGGGGGACUUUCGAGCCUCACGCUAUCAGAUGAGCCUGCGUAAGAUUAGCUAGUUGGUAGGGUAAAAGCCUACCAAGGCGACGAUCUUUAGCUGGUCUGAGAGGAUGAUCAGCCACAUCGGGACUGAGACACGGCCCGAACUCCUACGGGAGGCAGCAGUGGGGAAUAUUGGACAAUGGGGGCAACCCUGAUCCAGCAAUACCGCGUGUGUGAAGAAGGCCUGAGGGUUGUAAAGCACUUUCAAUUGUGAAGAAAAGCUAGUGGUUAAUAGCCAUUAGCCUUGACGUUAACUUUAGAAGAAGCACCGGCUAACUCCGUGCCAGCAGCCGCGGUAAUACGGAGGGUGCAAGCGUUAAUCGGAAUUACUGGGCGUAAAGCGUGCGUAGGCGGUUUAUUAAGUCAGAUGUGAAAGCCCCGGGCUUAACCUGGGAACUGCAUUUGAAACUGGUCAACUAGAGUAUGGUAGAGGAAAGUGGAAUUUCUGGUGUAGCGGUGAAAUGCGUAGAUAUCAGAAGGAACAUCAAUGGCGAAGGCAACUUUCUGGACCAAUACUGACGCUGAGGUACGAAAGCGUGGGUAGCAAACAGGAUUAGAUACCCUGGUAGUCCACGCCGUAAACGAUGAUAACUAGCCGUUGGGGGGAUUUACCCCUUAGUGGCGAAGCUAACGCGUUAAGUUAUCCGCCUGGGGAGUACGGCCGCAAGGUUAAAACUCAAAGGAAUUGACGGGGACCCGCACAAGCGGUGGAGCAUGUGGUUUAAUUCGAUGCAACGCGAAGAACCUUACCUGGUCUUGACAUCUGAGAACUUUCUAGAAAUAGAUUGGUGCCUUCGGGAACUCAGUGACAGGUGCUGCAUGGCUGUCGUCAGCUCGUGUCGUGAGAUGUUGGGUUAAGUCCCGUAACGAGCGCAACCCCUAUCCUUAUUUGCCAGCACAUCAUGGUGGGAACUAUAAGGAGACUGCCGGUGAUAAACCGGAGGAAGGCGGGGACGACGUCAAGUCAUCAUGGCCCUUACGACCAGGGCUACACACGUGCUACAAUGGGAAGGACAAAGAGCCGCGAAGCCGCGAGGUGUAGCUAAUCUCAGAAACCUUUUCGUAGUCCGGACUGGAGUCUGCAACUCGACUCCAUGAAGUCGGAAUCGCUAGUAAUCGUAGAUCAGAAUGCUACGGUGAAUACGUUCCCGGGUCUUGUACACACCGCCCGUCAUACCAUGGGAGUGGGUUGCACCAGAAGUGGCUAGUCUAACUUUAUUAAGGACGGUCACCACAGUGUGAUUCAUGACUGGGGUA